GAUGAACGCUGGCGGUAUGCUUUACACAUGCAAGUCGAACGCAAGUUUUUAACUUGAGUGGCGGACGGGUGAGUAACACGUGAGAAUUCGCCUUUAGGCGGGGAAUAACCAUUGGAAACAAUAGCUAAUGCCCCAUAUGCUUUCAAAAAGUGAGAGGAAAUUUUUUCCACCUGAAGAGAAGCUUGCGGCUGAUUAGCUAGUUGGUUAAGGUAAUGGCUUACCAAGGCGACGAUCAGUAACUGGUUUGAGAGAACGAUCAGUCACACUGGAACUGAGACACGGUCCAGACUCCUACGGGAGGCAGCAGUGGGGAAUUUUCCGCAAUGGGCGAAAGCCUGACGGAGCAAUACCGCGUGAGGGACAAAGGCCUCGGUU
rnacentral:rRNA from 1 species